AUUGAACGCUGGCGGCAUGCCUUACACAUGCAAGUCGAACGGCAGCGGACCUUCGGGUGCCGGCGAGUGGCGAACGGGUGAGUAAUAUAUCGGAACGUACCUUUCAGUGGGGGAUAACGUAGCGAAAGUUACGCUAAUACCGCAUAUUCUGUGAGCAGGAAAGCAGGGGAUCGCAAGACCUUGCGCUGAUUGAGCGGCCGAUAUCAGAUUAGCUAGUUGGUGAGGUAAAGGCUCACCAAGGCGACGAUCUGUAGCGGGUCUGAGAGGAUGAUCCGCCGCACUGGAACUGAGACACGGUCCAGACUCCUACGGGAGGCAGCAGUGGGGAAUUUUGGACAAUGGGCGCAAGCCUGAUCCAGCCAUGCCGCGUGAGUGAAGAAGGCC
rnacentral:rRNA from 1 species